AUGAACGCUGGCGGCGUGCCUAAUACAUGCAAGUCGAACGAAACUUCUUUAUCACCGAGUGCUUGCACUCACCGAUAAAGAGUUGAGUGGCGAACGGGUGAGUAACACGUGGGCAACCUGCCCAAAAGAGGGGGAUAACACUUGGAAACAGGUGCUAACACCGCAUAACCAUAGUUACCGCAUGGUAACUAUGUAAAAGGUGGCUAUACUACCGCUUUUGGAUGGGCCCGCGGCGCAUUAGCUAGUUGGUAGGGUAAAGGCUUACCGAGGCAAUGAUGCGUAGCCGAAUUGAGAGGUUGAUCGGCCGCAUUGGGACUGAGACACGGCCCAAACUCCUACGGGAGGCAGCAGUAGGGAAUCUUCCACAAUGGGCGAAAGCCUGAUGGAGCAACGCCGCGUGGGUGAAGAAGGUCUUCGGAUCGUAAAACCCUGUUGUUAGAGAAGAAAGUGCGUGAGAGUAACUGUUCACGUUUCGACGGUAUCUAACCAGAAAGCCACGGCUAACUACGUG
rnacentral:rRNA from 1 species